GACGAACGCUUGCGGCGUGCUUAACACAUGCAAGUCGAACGGAAAGGCCCUGCUUUUGUGGGGUGCUCGAGUGGCGAACGGGUGAGUAACACGUGAGUAACCUGCCCUUGACUUUGGGAUAACUUCAGGAAACUGGGGCUAAUACCGGAUAGGAGCUCCUGCUGCAUGGUGGGGGUUGGAAAGUUUCGGCGGUUGGGGAUGGACUCGCGGCUUAUCAGCUUGUUGGUGGGGUAGUGGCUUACCAAGGCUUUGACGGGUAGCCGGCCUGAGAGGGUGACCGGACACAUUGGGACUGAGAUACGGCCCAGACUCCUACGGGAGGCAGCAGUGGGGAAUAUUGCACAAUGGGCGGAAGCAUGAUGCAGCAACGCCGCGUGCGGGAUGACGGCCUUCGGGUUGUAAACCGCUUUCGCCUGUGACGAAGCGUGAGUGACGGUAAUGGGUAAAGAAGCACCGGCUAACUACGUG
rnacentral:rRNA from 1 species